GUGCUCGCUUCGAUGGCACAUAUAGUAAAAUUGGAACGAUAUAGAGAAGAUUAGCAUGGCCCCUGCGCAAAAAUGACACGCAAAUUCGUGAAGCGUUCCACAUUUAA